CAGUACACGUGAUCAACUUACCCUACGAAGGAGUACAACCUCGGGAAACUGAGGAUAAUGUUCCAUAUUGAGAAUGCCUGGAAUGGUUUUUCAAUGAAAGAGCAAAUCAAAUGGGAUUUGUUUCGUCGUAGGAUAGGAUUGCGCCCGAUUAUGGUUGUUGGCGAGGUAAUGGCUCACCAGGCCUAUUAUCGGUAAGGGCCGUGAGAGCGGAAGCCCUGAGAUGGGUACUGAGACAACGACCCAGGUCUUACGAGACGCAGCAGGCGCGGAAACUUCACAAUACACGAAAGUGUGAUGAGGUUACCCGGAGUGCCACACAGUGGCUGUUGUAGGGAGUAAGAUCCCCUACGAGAAAGGAGAGGGCAAGGCUGGUGCCAGCCGCCGCGGUAAAACCAGCUCUUCAAGUGGUCGGGACUAUUAUUGGGCUUAAAGUGUCCGUAGCCGGUUUAGUAAGUUCUUGGUAAAAUCUGACAGCUCAACUAUUUGUUUGCUAAGAAUACUACUAUACUAGGGGGCGGGAGAGGUCUGAGGUACUCCAGGGGUAGCGGUGAAAUGCUAUAAUCCUUGGGGGACCACCAGUGGCGAAGGCGUCAGUCUGGAACGCGCCCGACGGUGAGGGACGAAAGCCAGGGGAGCGAACCGGAUUAGAUACCCGGGUAGUCCUGGCUGUAAACGAUGCGUGCUAGGUGUUGGUAUGGCUAUGAGCCGUAUCAGUGCCGUAGGGAAACCGUUAAGCGCGCCGCCUGGAA
rnacentral:rRNA from 1 species